UACAGAGGAUGCAAGCGUUAUCCGGAAUGAUUGGGCGUAAAGCGUCUGUAGGUGGCUUUUUAAGUCCGCCGUCAAAUCCCAGGGCUCAACUCUGGACAGGCGGUGGAAACUACCAAGCUGGAGUACGGUAGGGGCAGAGGGAAUUUCCGGGUGGAGCGGUGAAAUGCGUAGAGGAUCGGAAAAGAACACCAACGGCGAAAGCACUCUGGCUGGGCCGACACUGACACUGAGAGACGAAAGCUAGGGGAGCGAAUGGGAUAGAUACCC
rnacentral:rRNA from 1 species